UGUGUUUUUUUAAUUGCAAGACAUCUUGCGAAUAACUGUUUUCAAAGUCCCUUAGAGAGUUUGCAGGGAACUUGUCUCCAUUUGUAGCGUGAGGUACACCAUGGUUUUCAUAAGGAUAUGGAAUGUAACCCAGAGGAAGGAAGAGACACAUCUCAGCUUUCAUUCACAUUGUGUGUGUUUUAAAUGAAAUUGAUAUAAAACUUCUGGAUCCGAAAUGUUUCACUAACUUAGGUUUUAUACACUGUAGUUUAGAUUUGCUGUGUCUUGAGAGCUGCUGAUCUGAGAGUAAUCCAUGUAUUCAUGCGCAUGCAUCAUUUGAAAAGGGCCUUUAUAAAAUUAUUUUUUUUGUUUUGGAACAAACUCCAGGCUUUUGGACGUGUUAAUCUUUGUAAUUCCUGUGUUUCUUAAAGUCACAUUAUGAAUUUCCUGUUUGGUAGAAUCUUCUGGGUAAUUGAGAUUGUGCAACUGUGUCAAGCAACAGAUCAUAUUGCAUUUUCUAGUUCAAGCUGCUUGAGUUAAGUUGCUGAUGGUACCAUGCUUGACAUCUUUCCCCAUUUUUAUAGUGCGACAGUUUACAUUUUAAGGGAAUUUGCAACAUUUUACUACAUAUACACAUAUAUAUGUGUGUGUGUUAUUUGCUCAUUUUCAAAGAUGUAUUUGGAUUGUGGCUCCUUUAAUAGCUGAUUAUUUUACCUCUAUUUUUCAUUCUUGAAUUGACACGUUAAUUUUUAUAGUACCAAGUUUUUGUUUCCAAUGAUGCUUAAACUUUAAUGGAAUGGUAAAGCAGAAUAUCUUAACUACGGGGAGUUUAGUGAACUUCAAAAGAACUGCUUGCAGUUUUCCUGUUGUUGGUAUAAACAGCUUUGCACUGGAACUAGAGAUCCAGAUUUACAGUAAAGUCAUUAAAAUGACCUUUACAUUUCUUUAGUACUAUUCUUUCUGGCUUACAGAAGCCUGCAGUUUCUGACACUUUGAAGUACUUUGUUAAACAGAUUUUUAAAAAUAGGUAAUACAUUCACAUUGUGUAAAAGGAUAUUUAGUGAAAAGUCUCAUUUCCUUUCUUGUUCUCCAACCAUGCUAUUCCUUUCCUCAGAGACCUCCACUGUUAAGUUUCUUAAGUGUUUUUACAGGGGGGCAGAGCUUGUUCAUUGUUUUUUAGUAGUAUUUCCCCAAGGGAUUGGAAGUGUAGCCUAUGGUAUAUUGGUGGAGGAAUAUACAUCUGAUACUAUGUGACAAUUGACUGUAAAUAAAUGUAACUGAUUUUGGAUUGAAAAUAUCAAAAUUUGGAUUUACAAGUAAGUGUUCUCUCAUUCAGAGUUACUUGAAGAGUUUCUUUCAAUUAGCAGUUUUUCGGGUGUUGCAGAAAACAUUUUUUUUUUCUUUAAUUUCUUUUAGUAUCCUUUCUGGAGCCUGUGUUAUUUUUCACUACCUUCAUCCUUUGGGAGCAGAUUUGACUUUAGGGAAUAACAAAAUCAAACUGAAUCCAAAUAAGAGAGUUUGUACUCACGUCUGGUGAAAAAGAUUAGGCAUUCAAGUUGAUGAUACUGUUUUAGGUCAAAUAGGAGUUGUAACUGUAAAGUAAUGACAGAAUUUCUUGUGUGACUCGUAGAACUGGAUCUGAAGUCUGUUCCAAAAAAGAAUCUCUGAAAGUGUUUUAAGGAAUGCAGCCUCACUAAAAUAUGUGUCAGUUUCCUAAUUUGAUUGCUCUGAAGUGUGAUACGCUUUGAUGUAUAAGUUAAAAAGUUUUCUUAUAUUAAGCCUAUUUUUAUUAUUUUAAUUUGUACUAAGUAUAUAGUAAAAAAGCAAGUAGCAGCCUGUAUGAUAACCAACUGUGAAUCAAAGAUCAAGGAAUCAGACUAGCAAUUGAGAGUUGAUAAGGUUUUAUAAAUAUGCCUUUCCUUUUUAGGGGGUAGAGGGAACUAAACCAAGUCUUGAAGUUUUAAGGAACUUUGUGCAUUGUCAGUGAGGGGAAAUGAAGCAAAAUCGUUUAAGAAUACAUUGUUGCGAAGCAUUGAUUUUCUGGUUUGGAGACAGAAGGGGGGACUCUUUGUGGUGAGUUUAAGGAAAUAUAAACAGGAACUUAAAUGCCUUUCCUCUGGGUAUGGUUUUUCCAGACCUUUGCUGUUGAUUAGAGGAGGUGGAGCACUGGCAGCCAUAAAAUAGGCGAGAGUUGAGAAUUACUCUUAAGUCAUAUUCAGUUGUUUAUUCAACAAUAUUGGAUACCAACUACGGAUUAGGUAACGGGCUAGGUUUCUUGAGAUAGAGCCCUGAACAAGACAGAACGAGGUAAUCCAUUCCCUCGGAGAGCUUAUAGCCUAAUGCGAAUAAUAACUACAUUGUAUGGAUUGCUUACUAUGUUCUAGGCAUUUUGCUUUGUGGUUUAUAUUUAUCAUCAGUAUAUAAAGCACAUACAAGAUUUUUAGUAAGAGGAUGGCAAAAUUUACUAAGAUAUCAAAUCCAACUUCCUAAAUGCUUUGUGGAACAAGAUUGUAUAUACAUAAAUAUAAUAAAAAUAAACAAAGCUAAGUUUUAGUGUUACUAGCCAUUCACCAUUUUUAAUCUUCUUUUUUUUUUCUUUUAGGAUGAGCCAGGGCACAAAUAAAUGAAUAUACAUCAUUGUUGACUAUGCAAAGAUGACUUUCUUGACUCCUGAUCAGUAAGGGGGGCAUGCCGUUUAUUUUUCUAGUGGUGAUAAUAGGCCCAUGCUGAUCUUUCUUCCCAUUUGCUUUUGUUUGUAACCAAAAGCAAGGUGAUUGGCUGCAUGUUGCCAGUACCAACCAAUAAAUGUUUAAAGAUAGUGGCAAAUAUUUAUAUUAUUUAUAUAUAAAGACUUUUAAGAAAGAAUUCAGUCAAGUUUGUUAUAAAGUCAUAUUUUAUUUAUUGAAUCCUUUUUUUUUUUUUUUAACUGAUGCUUUUCUGCUGGCUCCCAUUUUUAAAUAAGAGUAUUCUGAAUCUCUGGCUUUUCAGUUCCACCAGUUUAAUAUUUCUUGAUACUGAAGAGUACUCUGUUUUUGAUUUCCCUCUAGCUCAGCUUCAGAGGUGAUCUGUGUGUUGACUUUGGCCUUUCAUGGGCAACAGUGCACAUGGCAUUGAGCCCCUGAGGCUUAGGAUCCAAAGGUGGAAAAAUUCACUGGGCUAGAUCACUCUCACUUUAGUAUAAAUUGACAUUUGUAUGGGAUUUUACACUAUAAAGUAUUUUCACUCAGAGCAUUAUCGUUCAGUCUUCACCUGCUCUCUGAAGCCUGGUGUUAUUAACCUAGUUAUAGAGGUGAAGAACGAGAUUCAUCCGUUGAAGGAAAUGGCUUGCUUGCCAGUGGUACCUUGGAUUUGGUUCUAGGGUUUCGACACUUUAGAAGUCGUCUUUCCUCUACAUGUAAGCUGCUGAGGUUGUGUGAUGACAUCUUCUCUUGUGCUGUUUGUCCUUCCCUCUUCUUUUGUGAAGAAGGGUUGCUGAGUCACUUGCAAUAGAGCUGUGACUGUACAGCUCCAAUCCCACCACCAUCAUUGCCUAGGUAAUCUGAGGGAUAGUGACCUAACUUAUUAAAGUUACCCCUCUUCCUCAGAAUUGAUAGACCAAAAAUGAACUCACUGCCCAGAUUACAUUUUUUUCCCCAAGUAACUAUUAGUGCAAAUAGUUAUUUCCUGAAUUUAUGAAUCCUGUUGGUUUGGAAUUCUUCAAUGUGCAUUUUGUAAAGUUGGGACUAUCUGUACAUAUUUGUGUUAUAUAACUAUAGGAUAUCAUAGAAAUAGUUGCUUAUCCAGGCUUUUGAAAAUACAUUAAAUUUUUGCUUUUUACUGUGAAAUUUUGUAUUGAUUUGUUCCUAUCUAAGAGGUAUCAUUACUGUAAUGCUCAAUAAAAACCUCAUUGUAAAGUGAGUUUCCCUGACCUGGAACCUAGGGAUUUCCUCUCAUGGUUGCCAUGUAGUUAGAAGUCACGCACAUGUUUUUUCAGGACAAGAGAAACAAACAAAAAACAAAAACAAAAAAAGAACUAUUUAAACUUGAAAAAUUUUUUUGUAAAUAAAGCUUUCAGGGAUUUUCAUAAAUUAAGUGCAUGUGUGUUAAAGAUUUAUAAAAUUAGCUGGUUUUCCAGCAUUUCCUGUUAAGAAUUUAUUUUUAAGAAUGAGGAAAAUGGUGGUCUGUAAAUUCUGCACUUUUGACAAAUGGGUCCUGGAUUCUGAGUUGUUGGCUCCUAGGUGGAAGGUGGGGGAGAAAGAGUAUAGAAGAGAGGAGUCUAGGAUGACCCCUAAGUUUUGACUAUGGACAAAUGGAUAGAUUUUAGUGCCACUGUCUGAACUUUGGAGUAUUGUAAGGAUUGUGAAAGCAAAGGGAAAGAAAGAUGGGUUCCUUGAGGAUAGGACUGUGUGUUAUACUGAUACCCUGAGCGUCUACUAUGUAUGGGUUGUUCUUCAGGUGUUGGAAAUGGAGUGUGAACAAUCAGAGAAAAAUUUGUGCCCAUAAGAAAUUAUAUUCUAAGAGGGAUGAAAGUAGAAGUAGAUAAUAAAUUUAAAAAAAUUUUUAGUAUGUCAGAUGGUUGGUGCUGUGGGGGAAAUGAAGCAAGGUAAGGAGAGGAAUUACUGGGAUGGCUGUGUUGCACUUUUAAGCAGGAUAGUCAGGAUGGGCCUGGAUGAUGAAGUGACAGUUGAGCAAAGACCUGCAGGAAGUGAUCUAGAACACUGGUUGGACUUGGGUGUGGAGGGAAGAACAUUCCAGGCUGAAGGAUCAGGAGUUGCAAAGGCUCUGAGGCAACGGCCUCUUUCUCCAGAAUAGCUAGACCAGUCUGGCUAGCACUGAAUGAACCAGGGGCCAAAUAGUAGUAGAAGAGGGUGGAGGGGCUGCAGAUGCACAGGGAUCAUGAAGGACCUUACUUGGCCUUUUAAGAACUUUUGUAAGAACUGUUAGCACCCAUUAGAGGUGCUAAUAAUACUUCAGGGUAGAAUGGGGGAGUCCGAUGAGUUGGUGCAUUGCCCCAACCCAUGCGCACAACUGUCAUUCCAGAAGGCUCUGAGUACCGGAGCCAGUACUUCUGUUGGGCCCUAGAAAUUCAGGGUAUUCCAGUCCAGCUCUUUAAAUAACAUGGGCUUAUUUCACUUUUUCAGGUUUCUGUUGCCAAAAGGAAGGGAGCACAGAGAUUAGCUCUAGACUUCUGCUGACAAAAGGAGAUUAGCCUGCUGGCAGGUUGAACGUUUUCUAACUUCUUUGGGCUUCUAGGUUUUUCCGUACUAUUGGGUCAUAUUUUAAAAGACAUUUUUACCUGCCUUCAACAUUGCAGAUCUCAUUUAUUUUUUGUUUUAUUUGGCUCUGCAUCUGCUUUACAUUCCUCCACCUUCCCCCAAUGACUGUUACCUGUUACUAAUGUUUUAGCUGUGAGGCUCCAAAGCCGUCUCUGUUAACUUGAAUAAAUUGAAAUAGAUCGAUUAAUUUGAAUAGAUUGAAAGAUCCUGCAUGUGUGUGACCUUACAAAACCCCAUAGGAUUUAUUGUCUUCCUUGCCUUUAUAGAUACAGGCUUCUCUCCUCUUUCACGGGAGCUAUCCCCCUUUUACUGCUCUAUCAUCUAGUUGCGGAAAAUAAGUGUUCCUAAACACAGAUUCCCAUGGCAACAUAACAAAAAGGCCUUGGUGAUAUUGUCACUGUGCCUGUGACAUGAAGGAAGGUAUGUGAGUAUGUGUGUUUUACUGUCAGUCUGCCCACAAGUAUGCAUUGGUUGCUUUUGCAGGCUUAUGGUCCAGAGUGUAGGCAUCACACAACACACAAGCAUGCCACAAAAAAAAAAAAAAAAAAAAAGGCAAAAAA